CUGGCUUUGACCAACUGGCUUGCAUAUCCAAACUUUGUCAUCCUCGCAACGACUGCAUUCUUCCGCUAAUUUAGUGUACUCUGAUGGUAAUCAGCGUUUUGCCUACUCUAAGAGGAGUCAUUUCUGAAGUCAACUAACGUGUUCUGGAUACAGUACCUGAAGUCGUAGAUCGAGCCGUACAUCUUCUUCAUGCAUCUUAAGUGGCGUAUAAGAUUAUCCUUUCUGCAGAUAGAUCCUCCCUUUGGUAUUCUGUUGACGAACUGUAGCCAAAGAAGAGGAAAGGAAAAGUACAACUGGGUGCAUCGUCACCUGCCAUGGUAGUAGCGGCUUGUAAUAAGUGUAUUCCCUCCAACCACGUUCCGUGCAAAUCUGUGAAAAAAUAUGCAACAACCUUCCUGCAAACGACCGUUUAAAGAACCCGAUCUACGAGAAGGAGGAUUGAUCAUUUUAAUUGCGCUUAAAGUCAGGAGUCGAGGAAACGUGUUAGAAAUCUGAAGAAAUGGCACCACCGCGGUGGCAUUAAUAAAAAUACCUUAAAGCGAAAAGGGUGUAGG